GUUCGUUACGUAGGUGCGCGUGUGCCGCGGCGGUUCGUUACGUAGGUGCGCGUGUGCCGCGGCCGUUCGUUACGUAGGAGCGCGGGUGCUGUGGUGGUUUGCUGCACCUAUUAACCCAUCCUGAAGAGGAAGAGACCAAGUACUGUCUUCUAUGGGAGGGCAUGGCAGGAAGGCACCAUCUGAGCCCGGAAGUGGGUCCUCACCAGACACUGCCGUCACCUCCGCGCUGGACCUGCAGCCUCCAGAACUGUUUUGCCUGGCAUUCUGCAGAAGCAUUGCUGUAUCUUACCAGACAGGAAUACAGGCAAUGCUGUGAAGCGUCAGAGGGAAUUCCGUUGGUUACUUUCCCAUACGGUCUUGUUCAGCUGCUUGUUCUCAGAAAAGUGUGUUUGUUGGUGGAGGAGAAUGCGACCAAGGAGACCAUCCUUUUCAUGAAGGCACAAACGUGAAUACAUAUGUGACUUUUAAGCCUUUAAAUAAAAACCCAAAGCACAUUUAUGCCUGUCUUUAUUUCUAAGCAUUCUUCCCUUUUCUUGCUUUGGU
rnacentral:lncRNA from 1 species